UCCUGCAGUGUGCCUGCUAACAUUGGACAGUCAGCUGGGGCGUUAACUUCCUGUUAUUUAUAACCUCUGAAGGCAGAAGAAAAAAAUCAGCCUGCUUACUCAGAGGAGCAACAAGCAAUGGAUCCCAAAGGCCAGAAAGUGAAGCUUAAUGAUGGCCACUUCAUUCCUGUCCUGGGAUUUGGAACGUUUGCACCUCCAGAGGUUCCUAAGAGUGAAGCUCUGGAGGUCACCAAAUUUGCUAUAGAGGCUGGGUUCCGCCAUAUUGACAGUGCUCAUUUGUACCAAAAUGAAGAGCAGGUUGGCCAGGCCAUUCGAAGCAAGAUUGCCAAUGGAACUGUGAAGAGAGAAGACAUAUUCUACACUUCAAAGCUCUGGUCCACUUCCCUUCGUCCAGAGUUGGUCCGACCAGCCUUGGAAAAGUCACUGAAUAAUCUUCAACUGGACUAUGUCGAUCUCUAUAUUAUUCAUUUUCCAGUGGCUCUGAAGCCAGGGGAAGCACUUUUUCCAACAGAUGAAAAUGGAAAACCAAUAUUUGACUCAGUGGAUCUCUGUCACACGUGGGAGGCCCUGGAGAAGUGUAAGGACGCAGGGUUGACCAAGUCCAUUGGGGUGUCCAACUUCAACCACAAGCAGCUGGAGAAGAUUCUGAACAAGCCGGGGCUCAAGUACAAGCCCGUCUGCAACCAGGUGGAAUGUCACCCUUAUCUCAACCAGAGCAAACUGUUGGAUUUCUGCAAGUCACAUGAUAUUGUUCUUGUUGCCUAUGGUGCUCUGGGAUCCCAACGAAUAAAAGAAUGGGUGAACCCAAACCUCCCCUAUCUCUUGGAGGACCCGGUUCUCUCUGCCAUUGCCAAAAAACACAACCAAACCCCAGCUCUGGUUGCCCUUCGCUACCAGAUACAACGUGGGGUUGUGGUUCUGGCCAAGAGUUACAACAAGAAGCGGAUCAAAGAGAACAUACAGGUGUUUGAUUUUGAACUGACUCCAGAGGACAUGAAAGCAAUCGAUGGCCUCAACAGCAAUUUAAGAUAUAAUGAGAUACAACUGUGUGUUGGUCACCCUGAGUAUCCAUUUUUUGAAGAAUAUUGACUGUGAGCUGUACACCGUGCAUUCUACCAGAAUGUCUUGCCUCUAGGGCUGUGAAGAGGAUUUCUGUACGUGGUAGAGCUGGGCUGACCACCAUGCAGGCAGCUGGACCUGAGGACUUGGGACAAUGGGUGUCUCUGUGAAGCUAGUCCCUGAAGAUGGGGGUACUCCCAAGUCUUUGCUCUGUAUCUAAACCAGAGUAUGUUCUUCAGCUACAAUUUUCCAAGAAAGAUCAAGAUCUUCCAAGAAGAAGGAAUAACUGUAUUUUCUUCUUAUUCAUCUGAAUUUGUGGGUGGAAAUCACGAACACUGUAUUGAGCAGAAUUUUCUAGUUAUCAGACCAAGAACAAUAGUUGUGCUUGCUCCAGGACAUGAAGAAAUUGUUCUCAUUGAAGACGGAGUAAAUGAACACCCAGCAGAUGUUGAAAUGCACAUCACCUAAGAAGAGAUCUUUGAAUGUUUGCUUGCGAAUCUGAGCAUUUCUUAUACACUAUUAUCAACCCCUUCUAUAAUAAAGAUGUUUAUGGAUGUAACACUUUA